rnacentral:rRNA from 1 species
AUUGAACGCUGGCGGCAGGCCUAACACAUGCAAGUCGAGCGGCAGCGGGAAAGUAGCUUGCUACUUUUGCCGGCGAGCGGCGGACGGGUGAGUAAUGCCUGGGAAAUUGCCCAGUCGAGGGGGAUAACAGUUGGAAACGACUGCUAAUACCGCAUACGCCCUACGGGGGAAAGCAGGGGACCUUCGGGCCUUGCGCGAGUGGAUAUGCCCAGGUGGGAUUAGCUAGUUGGUGAGGUAAUGGCCCACCAAGGCGACGAUCCCUAGCUGGUCUGAGAGGAUGAACAGCCAAACUGGAACUGAGGCACGGUCCAGACUCCUACGGGAGGCAGCAGUGGGGAAUAUUGCACAAUGGGGGAAACCCUGAUGCAGCCAUGCCGCGUGUGUGAAGAAGGCCUUCGGGUUGUAAAGCACUUUCAGCGAGGAGGAAAGGUUGAUGCCUAAUACGUAUCAACUGUGACGUUACUCGCAGAAGAAGCACCGGCUAACUCCGUGCCAGCCGCCGCGGUAAUAC